UUGUCUGAGCUCCAAGUCUUUGGUUUUGGGGUUCCCUGAUGGAAGGACAGUGGCCUGCUGACCCUUUGUUUUUCCAAGCUUUUGGGGGACUGUGACCUGGACAGGGGCACUCGGGAUUCAGACCAGAUAUUUUUCCCACAGCACCAUCACCCCAUUUGAAGACUGGUUGUCGGAGGCUAAGCCUCACUGCAUUUCUGACAAGGAGCUUCAGGACAGCUUGGCUCAGAGAGCAGAACUGUCCUAUAGUGAGUGCUGGCCAGACCUGACCUACUCUAGCAUGUGCUUGCUUAAAAAGAAGACAUUGCUUCCAUGAUGGUUGCCUGGGCCAGGUAUCCAAGAUUCAUCAAUAAAAGGAGCCACACAUUCAGACAAACAGUCUAUCAGCAGGGAUCUAUCUGAAGUGGAACAGCCAGGACACAAACCAGCACCCAUGUGUUAUGCCAGUGUUGCAGGUAACAAUGUUAUGUGUUAUGUCACGAUGCCAGCCCACAAUGGUUUUCUUUCAGAAGGCAACAAACAUGUGGAUGAAGCUUUACAUGUCUGUGUCCUACUUACUGAUCCUCUUCAGUCCUGAAUUUUUCAUUAAUCAGCUAAAUCUCUCCAUAAACAGUUUAAAAUUCCUCUUCCUGAUAUUCCUGAAACAAUCUGUAAUUGUUCCCAAUGUGAUCAAACUCCUCAUCCUCAUUAUUUUCCUUUUGCUGCUGUCAACCCUCAAGGCCAUCAUUGUGGGCAGCCACAGGCAGUCGCCCCUUUUGUUUACACUUAAACAUAUGAAUGGAGACACAGACAAUUAGGCUAAGGAGAUUCCAGGAAGAGA